rnacentral:snoRNA from 1 species
AAGGUUGAUGAUGAUGACCUGAUAUCCUACAUAAUCAUUGGGCUAGAUGAGGAGUACGUUCCAGUCGUAUCUUCUCUUGUAGCCCAACCCAAUCUCACAAUUGGGGAGGCCUAUGCUCAACUACUCAGUUUCGAGC